AUUGAACGCUGGCGGCAUGCCUUACACAUGCAAGUCGAACGGCAGCACGGGAGCAAUCCUGGUGGCGAGUGGCGAACGGGUGAGUAAAGUAUCGGAACGUGCCCAGUCGUGGGGGAUAACGUAGCGAAAGUUACGCUAAUACCGCAUACCAUCUAUGGGUGAAAGCGGGGGAUCGCAAGACCUCGCGUGAUUGGAGCGGCGGAUAUCAGAUUAGGUAGUUGGUGGGGUAAAGGCUCACCAAGCCGACGAUCUGUAGCUGGUCUGAGAGGACGACCAGCCACACUGGGACUGAGACACGGCCCAGACUCCUACGGGAGGCAGCAGUGGGGAAUUUUGGACAAUGGGCGAAAGCCUGAUCCAGCCAUGCCGCGUGCAGGAUGAAGGCCUUCGGGUUGUAAACUGCUUUUGUACGGAAUGAAAAGGUUUGGGCUAAUAAGCUGAGCUCAUGACGGUACCGUAAGAAUAAGCACCGGCUAACUACGUGCCAGCCGCCGCCGUAA
rnacentral:rRNA from 1 species